rnacentral:rRNA from 1 species
CCUACGGGUGGCAGCAGUGAGGAAUAUUGGUCAAUGGGCGGGAGCCUGAACCAGCCAAGUCGCGUGAGGGAAGACGGUCCUAUGGAUUGUAAACCUCUUUAGCCGGGGAGCAAUGCCGGGCACGUGUGCCCGCAGGGAGAGUACCCGCAGAAUAAGCAUCGGCUAACUCCGUGCCAGCAGCCGCGGUAAUACGGAGGAUGCGAGCGUUAUCCGGAUUUAUUGGGUUUAAAGGGUGCGUAGGUGGGUUGUUAAGUCAGUUGUGAAAGUUUGGGGCUCAACCGUAAAAUUGCAAUUGAUACUGGCAGUCUUGAGUACGGUUGAGGUAGGCGGAAUUCGUGGUGUAGCGGUGAAAUGCUUAGAUAUCACGAAGAACUCCGAUUGCGAAGGCAGCUUACUAAACUGCCACUGACGUUGAUGCUCGAAAGUGUGGGUAUCGAACAGGAUUAGAUACCCGGGUAGUC